ACGGUCAGAUCUCAAGUAUUAGAGGGCCGUAUCGAUUGGAACCAUCCGCAUACCACACAUGGUUUGAGGUGCUACGCUGUGCCGAAAUUUGAAGCGGUCCAAGUUUAAUUUGUUGGCAGAAUAAAAGGGAUGACUGCAAAGCGCUCCCCUAUCUGAAACACACCAGAAGACGCGGUUCUUCAAGUGUCUUCAUAUUUAUGGGAUAAAAUCAGCCAUCAUGUCGGGGAAGUCAGAUGGGAAGAAGAAGUGGCAGGCAGUCAGGGGACGCCUGGGCUCCUCGCAGGACUCAGAUACACAGCCAGAGGCCAACCUAGAGAGUGCUGAUCCAGAGCUGUGUAUCAGACUGCUGCAAGUUCCCACUGUGGUCAACUACUCCGGGCUAAGGCGUCGCCUGGAGGGCAGCGACCAGACAUGGAUGGUCCAGUUCCUGGAGCUGAGUGGGUUGGAUCUCCUCCUGGAGGCCCUGGACCGGCUCUCGGGCCGGGGAUGCUCUCGCAUUGCCGACGCCCUUCUGCAACUCACGUGUGUCAGCUGCGUCCGGGCAGUCAUGAACUCCUCUGCAGGGAUCCACUUCAUUAUAGACAAUGAGGGAUACAUUCGGAAGCUCUCCCAAGCUUUGGACACUUCCAACAUCAUGGUGAAAAUGCAGGUGUUUGAGCUACUUGCUGCCCUCAGCAUGUUCUCUACAGACGGUCAUCGUCUGGCACUGGAUGCCCUGGACCACUACAAGGGCGUGAAGACGCAGCAGUAUCGCUUCAGUGUGAUCAUGAACGAGCUGCAGGCCACAGAUAACGUCCCUUACAUGGUCACACUCCUCAGUGUCAUCAACGCCCUCAUCUUCGGGACAGAUGACCUCAGGCAGAGAGAUAAGAUGAGAAAGCAGUUUAUCGGGCUCCAGUUACUUGAUAUUCUGCCAAAGUUAAGGGAGCAGGAGGAUGAAGACUUGAUCAUUCAAUGUGAAACUUUUGAAGAGACAAUGGCUGAAGAUGAGGAGGAGCUGCUGCGGGUCUAUGGGGGCAUUGACAUGAGUGAUCACAUGGAGGUUUUUACUACGCUCUUUAACAAAGUGAGCAGCUCUCCAGCGUCUCUCCAGCUGCUGUCCAUCCUGCAGACGUUGUUGGUGCUGGGGCCCAGCCGUUCGGAUAUCUGGCUGGCUCUAGAGGCCAUCACUAACAGAGCCAUACUGCUGGCCCAGGACUCUCAGAUGGAAUCCUGUGAGAAGAUCAUGCAGCGGCUGAUGUUCUCCAAAGGCAAGAGCUUUGGCGGUCAUCAUGAGGUGGACGGGCAGCUUGUGAAAGUAGAUAAGGCCGUGCAGACUGAUCUGGAACAUCAGGAGAAGGAGAAAAGCAUAACAUCCUCUCUGAAGCCAAUUUGUGCCUCUCCUCUACCUCCCCCUCCACCCCCACCACCACCACCUCCUCUACCCCCUAUGACAGGUCCCCCGCACCAACCUUUUAACCAGUGCCCACCUCCUCCUCCUCCUCCACCACCGCUACCUGGAGGGUUUGGUGGACCCCCUCCACCUCCUCCCUUGCCUGGAAUGCCACCACCACCACCACCGCUACCAGGGAUGGGUGGCGGACCACCACUGCCCUCACCUGGCAUGCCACCUCCACCUCCACCUCCCCCAGGCAUGAUAGUGGCUCAGAGUAGCCAGGGCUUGGGGUGUGCUGCACCCACAAAGGCAAACCGAUGCCCUACCCUGAGGAUGAAAAAGCUCAACUGGCAGAAACUCCGCACUGUUACUGAUGGUCACUCCAUGUGGUCAUCAGUUCAAAAAGCGCCUCAUCCUCGGGAGCCGAACUACGGCAGUAUCGAGCAGCUGUUCUGUCUCCCGGUGAAUGAACACAAAGACAAGGGGGCAGCUGCUCCUGUCAAGAAGGAGCCUAAAGAGAUUACAUUCAUUGAUCCAAAGAAAAACUUGAAUUUGAACAUAUUCCUAAAGCAGUUCAGAUGCACAAAUGAGGACUUUGUAGCCAUGAUUCAGAAUGGGGAUCGUAGUAGGUUUGAUGUAGAGGUGCUGAAACAGCUUCUUAAGCUCCUACCAGAGAAGCAUGAGAUUGAAAAUUUGAAGUCCUUCCAAGGAGAAAAAGACAAGUUGGCAAAUGUUGACCGCUUCUACACCUCCCUUCUCAAUGUGCCAUGUUAUCAGUUGAGGAUUGAGUGCAUGUUGCUCUGUGAGGAGACUUCAUCAGUGGUGGAUAUGCUCAAACCUAAAGUCAAGCUGGUGGAGGAGGCUUGCCAGUCUCUCAGAAAGAGCACGCUCGUGCCCAGUUUCUGCAAGCUCAUCCUUGACGUUGGGAAUUUUCUCAACUAUGGAAGUCACACAGGAAACGCUGAGGGAUUCAAGCUCAGCUCUCUGCUCAAGCUUACAGAGACCAAGGCCAACAAGAGCCGCAUUACGCUGCUUCAUCACAUCCUGGAGGAAGCAGAGACCAACCACCCAGAGCUGUUGACCCUGCCAGAUGAUAUAGAGAUCUGUGAAAAAGCAGCGGGAGUUAAUCUGGACUCCGCUCAGUCAGAGGCCAGUGCCUUACUAAAACGACUUAAUGAGACCGCCAAGAAGGUUUCCAACUCUGUCGAAGAGAUGAAGGAGCAAUAUGCUAAAGUUCUUGAGGAAGGUCUGGAGGCAUGUCAAGCUUUAAGUGACAGGUUCACUGCGCUUGAGAAGAAGAAGAGUGAGCUGGCUGUCUACCUAUGUGAAGAUGCCAAUCAGCUGUCGCUUGAGGAACUUUUCGGAACCAUCAGGUCUUUCAGGGGACUAUUCCUCAAGGCACUGAAGGAAAACAAAACCAGAAGAGAGCAGGCAGUUAAGGCUGAGAAAAGGAAGAAGCAGCUAGCAGAGGAGGAGUCCAAGAGACAGAAAGGAGAGAAUGGAAAAAUCUUCAAGAAAGGCUUCGUGCCACAAAAUGACGGCUGCAUCAUCGACCACCUCCUGGCGGAUAUCAAGAAAGGUUUCAGCCUAAGAAAGACCAGGCCAAGGUGCGAUUCGGCAAGCCUCCCUUCUAGUGAAAUGCGUAGGGAUACCUGCUCAUCUGGAUCAAGUGUGACGCCUGUAGACGAAAAAGCCGUAGAAAUAGCCGCCAUAUCCGCAUCCAGCAAACGUCAGACAGAGGGUCACCAGGCCAGCACAAGCGAAAUGAACGGCUUCAUCAGCCCAUCAGAAGACACUCCGCCAGCACCACAGAGUGGGAUGCAAGACAGACCAGCUGUACCCCCCGAGGCACUCCCAGGAGAGCCAGCCAUGACAACGCAGACACCCCUGGAAAGACCUGCGUCACUGCAGGAGGAGCAACACUCACAGAAACCUGCAGUAUCAUGUCAACCAUGUCUCCCCACAAGUGGCUUUUCAUUGGACUCAACUGAAACCAGCGUCCUCAGCCCAUCUUCCCUCUCUGAUUCUGACCUGUUAGAGGCUGUCUUAGAUGGCACUUCCAGCCUGGUGUCUGAGAAGCUGAUGGCUGAGGAGCCAGCGGACAUUAGUGUGAAUGUUCAGAUAAAGGAAAGUCCUUUACCUGAUACAGACACAGUGACACAGAGUAGUGCAGACAGUAUAAUGGGAGAUGGGAAAGGUGAAACUAGUAAUAAAAUAAACCCCUUAGCAGAGACUGUAGGACAAGAGGAGGGUCGAGAAGAGCGGAAAUGCAUUACUGUAAAUACGUCCAUGACUGCACUCGGUGAGGGUAUCGAGGGGUACGACGUCCCAGAUGGACUGCAAUCAGAAGAUCUGCCAUCAGUGUCUGGAGCAGUGCCUGAGCCUCCAUCCCUUAAGCCCGAACCAAAGAAGAAGCAGAGCUUCUAUAAACGAAACAAAAAGAAGAGUAAUCAAGGUAACCAAUCCAUUGACUUAAAUAAAGAUCACGUUUGGAAUGCUAGUCUCUUGAUGUGUCUUAAAGGGAAAUCCUUAUUUGUUUUGUUUUUACUGCAUUUAACGUUUUAUAUUUUAUGUAUGGUCUAUUUUUGUGUGUAUUAAGUAUUUUUGCAUGACAACAUGCAUUUUAUUAAAGACUAUGGAUGCAAUUUGCAGAUUUAAUAUGGAUUUGAAGCUAUGGACAGUUUGUUUGAAUGCUCUGUUUUCCAUUCUGACUCUCUGAAACACAAGGUAACAGUGGGAAUGGACACACUAAACCUAAAACAGGCUGUGUGUUGCAGUGAGGUAGGUCAAAUCGAUGGGAUGGAAAACUGUAAGCAGAAACAUCAUCCUAAUGAACUCAAUCACCAUCGCAGCUUUGUCCCAAAUAACACGUCAUUUGUUGGUCUAACUGGAAUCUGGAUUUUUCAUUUGUAUCUGUUGUCCAGCUUUUAACACUUGCUCUCUCUUUAACACUUUUCCAAUUCAAUUAUCAGGCCCAAAUCUUAACAGCAUUUGACCAAACGCACAUGUGUCUUGCGGUGAUUCUAAUGUCAAUCAAACCUGGGGAAAACUAACCUUGAAAAUACUAUUAUUUACAGCAAAUAAUCCUCUUUAAGAAGUGGUUAAGUGAUCUCACAUCAGUUUGUGAUCUCAAGCAUUCUUGCAGUUUGUGGAGUCAUUGUGAAGUGACUCCAGAAAAAGGAUAUCAAGAGGAAAAAGAAAAUGUUAAUUUCACGCAGGAGUUGUGAACUGGAAGGACUACAGUAUCAUUAAUUGUGUGAGACUACAUGAGCAUUGAUUCCUUCAAAGGGAUGCAGAAGUCUUAAGUCCAAGAAGGGUAAACACAUCUAUGGCAGGGAUCUUCACAGCAUGGAUGUCAACAUGUGGCUUUAUUUAAAGGAAUGAGUUCUAGUUUUUUUUGUGUACAUGAGUGGUUUGGAUUCAAAGCUAUUCAAAAAAAAGUUGAAUAUUUCUUAUGUUUUGUACAAUUGUUGUAAUAUACAAUGAAUGUUUUUGCUAUAUGCUCUAUUUACUUUUAAGCACCUGUAAAAAAGAAAAAAUACGCAAGAUAUUUAAUUUAAC